rnacentral:rRNA from 1 species
AAUCAACGCUGGCGGCGUGCCUCAGACAUGCAAGUCGAACGAGAAAGUUUCCUUCGGGAGACGAGUACAGUGGCGUCCGGGUGAGUAACACGUGGGUAAUUUACCUUUGGGUGGGGAAUAGCAGCCGGAAACGGCUAUUAAUACCGCAUAAUGCAGCGGCUCGACAUCGAGACAGUUGUUAAAGCGGGGAUCUGACAAGGACCUCGCGCCUAAAGAGAAGCCUGCGUCAGAUAGCUAGUUGGUAGGUAAUGGCCUACCAAGGCUGUGAUCUGUAGCCGGCCUGAGAGGGCGGUCGGCCACACUGACACUGACACACGGGUCAGACUCCUACGGGAGGCAGCAGUCGGGAAUUUUGGGCAAUGGGCGCAAGCCUGACCCAGCAACGCCGCGUGAAGGAUGAAAUCCCU